AUUGAACGCUGGCGGAAUGCUUUACACAUGCAAGUCGAACGGCAGCACGGGGGCAGCCCUGGUGGCGAGUGGCGAACGGGUGAGUAAUACAUCGGAACGUGCCCGGUCGUGGGGGAUAACGUAGCGAAAGUUACGCUAAUACCGCAUACGAUCUGAGGAUGAAAGCGGGGAACCUCGGGCCCUGGCCGAUCGGAGGGGCCCGAUGUCAGAUUAGGUAGUUGGUGGGGUAAAGGCCUACAAAGCCGACGAUCUGUAGCUGGUCUGAGAGGACGACCAGCCACACUGGGACUGAGACACGGCCCAGACUCCUACGGGAGGCAGCAGUGGGGAAUUUUGGACAAUGGGCGCAAGCCUGAUCCAGCCAUUCCGCGUGCAGGACGAAGGCCUUCGGGUUGUAAACUGCUUUUGUACGGAACGAAAAGGCUCUGGCUAAUACCUGGGGCUCAUGACGGUACCGUAAGAAUAAGCACCGGCUAACUACGUG
rnacentral:rRNA from 1 species